GUAGGGAAUCUUCGGCAAUGGGGGCAACCCUGACCGAGCAACGCCGCGUGAGUGAAGAAGGUUUUCGGAUCGUAAAGCUCUGUUGUAAGUCAAGAACGAGUGUGAGAGUGGAAAGUUCACACUGUGACGGUAGCUUACCAGAAAGGGACGGCUAACUACGUGCCAGCAGCCGCGGUAAUACGUAGGUCCCGAGCGUUGUCCGGAUUUAUUGGGCGUAAAGCGAGCGCAGGCGGUUUGAUAAGUCUGAAGUUAAAGGCUGUGGCUCAACCAUAGUUCGCUUUGGAAACUGUCAAACUUGAGUGCAGAAGGGGAGAGUGGAAUUCCAUGUGUAGCGGUGAAAUGCGUAGAUAUAUGGAGGAACACCGGUGGCGAAAGCGGCUCUCUGGUCUGUAACUGACGCUGAGGCUCGAAAGCGUGGGGAGCGAACAGGAUUAGAUACCCUGGUAGUCCACGCCGUAAACGAUGAGUGCUAGGUGUUGGAUCCUUUCCGGGAUUCAGUGCCGCAGCUAACGCAUUAAGCACUCCGCCUGGGGAGUACGACCGCAAGGUUG
rnacentral:rRNA from 1 species